rnacentral:rRNA from 1 species
AGUGAACGCUGGCGGUAGGCCUAACACAUGCAAGUCGAACGGCAGCACAGUAAGAGCUUGCUCUUACGGGUGGCGAGUGGCGGACGGGUGAGGAAUACAUCGGAAUCUACUUUUUCGUGGGGGAUAACGUAGGGAAACUUACGCUAAUACCGCAUACGACCUACGGGUGAAAGCAGGGGAUCUUCGGACCUUGCGCGAUUGAAUGAGCCGAUGUCGGAUUAGCUAGUUGGCGGGGUAAAGGCCCACCAAGGCGACGAUCCGUAGCUGGUCUGAGAGGAUGAUCAGCCACACUGGAACUGGAACACGGUCCAGACUCCUACGGGAGGCAGCAGUGGGGAAUAUUGGACAAUGGGCGCAAGCCUGAUCCAGCCAUACCGCGUGGGUGAAGAAGGCCUUCGGGUUGUAAAGCCCUUUUGUUGGGAAAGAAGAGCAGCAGGUUAAUACCCCGCUGUUCUGACGGUACCCAAAGAAUAAGCACCGGCUAACUUCGUG